UUUAAAACUUUCAACAACGGAUCUCUUGGUUCUCGCAUCGAUGAAGAACGCAGCGAAAUGCGAUAAGUAAUGUGAAUUGCAGAUUUUCGUGAAUCAUUGAAUCUUUGAACGCACAUUGCGCCCUCUGGUAUUCCAGAGGGCAUGCCUGUUUGAGCGUCAUUU
rnacentral:rRNA from 2 species